rnacentral:rRNA from 1 species
AACGUAGGUUCCGAGCGUUAUCCGGAUUUACUGGGCGUAAAGCGUGUUCAGGCGGUCAGGCAAGUCGGGCAUGAAAUCUCUCGGCUCAACCGGGAGAGGUUGUCCGAUACUGCCAGACUUGAGGGCAGUAGAGGGUGGUGGAAUUCCGGGUGUAGUGGUGAAAUGCGUAGAUAUCCGGAGGAACACCAGUGGCGAAAGCGGCCACCUGGACUGUACCUGACGCUCAAACACGAAAGCUAGGGGAGCGAACGGGAUUAGAAACCCCCGUAGUCC